rnacentral:rRNA from 1 species
UACGUAGGUGGCAAGCGUUGUCCGGAUUUACUGGGUGUAAAGGGCGUGUAGGCGGGACGGCAAGUCAGGCGUGAAAACCAUGGGCUCAACCCAUGGCCUGCGUUUGAAACUGCUGUUCUUGAGUACUGGAGAGGUUGGCGGAAUUCCUAGUGUAGCGGUGAAAUGCGUAGAUAUUAGGAGGAACACCAGUGGCGAAGGCGGCCAACUGGACAGCAACUGACGCUGAGGCGCGAAAGCGUGGGGAGCAAACAGG